AUUGAACGCUGGCGGCAGGCCUAACACAUGCAAGUCGAGCGGAUGAAGGGAGCUUGCUCCUGGAUUCAGCGGCGGACGGGUGAGUAAUGCCUAGGAAUCUGCCUGGUAGUGGGGGAUAACGUCCGGAAACGGGCGCUAAUACCGCAUACGUCCUGAGGGAGAAAGUGGGUGAUCUUCGGACCUCACGCUAUCAGAUGAGCCUAGGUCGGAUUAGCUAGUUGGUGGGGUAAAGGCCUACCAAGGCGACGAUCCGUAACUGGUCUGAGAGGAUGAUCAGUCACACUGGAACUGAGACACGGUCCAGACUCCUACGGGAGGCAGCAGUGGGGAAUAUUGGACAAUGGGCGAAAGCCUGAUCCAGCCAUGCAGCGUGUGUGAAGAAGGUCUUCGGAUUGUAAAGCACUUUAAGUUGGGAGGAAGGGCAGUAAGUUAAUACCUUGCUGUUUUGACGUUACCAACAGAAUAAGCACCGGCUAACUUCGU
rnacentral:rRNA from 1 species